rnacentral:rRNA from 1 species
UACGUAGGUGGCAAGCGUUGUCCGGAUUUACUGGGCGUAAAGAGCGCGCAGGCGGUCGUUCAAGUCGCGUGUGAAAGCCCCCGGCUCAACUGGGGAGGGUCACGCGAUACUGCUCGACUCGAAGGCAGGAGAGGGAAGUGGAAUUCCCGGUGUAGUGGUGAAAUGCGUAGAUAUCGGGAGGAACACCAGUGGCGAAGGCGGCUUGCCAGAACGCGCUCGACGGUGAGGGAUGAAAGCUGGGGGAGCAAACCGG